GACGAACGCUGGCGGCGUGCUUAACACAUGCCAGUCGUACGGUAAGGCCCUUUCGGGGGUACCCGAGUGGCGAACGGGUGAGUAACACGUGAGUAACCUGCCCACAACUUUGGGAUAACGCUAGGAAACUGGUGCUAAUACUGGAUAUGUGCUCCUGCUGCAUGGUGGGGGUUGGAAAGCUCCGGCGGUUGUGGAUGGACUCGCGGCCUAUCAGCUUGUUGGUGGGGUAGUGGCCUACCAAGGCGGCGACGGGUAGCCGGCCUGAGAGGGUGACCGGCCACAUUGGGACUGAGAUACGGCCCAGACUCCUACGGGAGGCAGCAGUGGGGAAUAUUGCACAAUGGGCGCAAGCCUGAUGCAGCAACGCCGCGUGCGGGAUGACGGCCUUCGGGUUGUAAACCGCUUUCAGCAGGGACGAAGCUUUUUGUGACGGUACCUGCAGAAGAAGCACCGGCUAACUACGUG
rnacentral:rRNA from 1 species